rnacentral:lncRNA from 1 species
UCUCUCUCUCUCUCUCUCUCUCUCUCUCUCACUUACGCAGUCACACGACACAUGCGUAUUGUAAACACUUAUUGGUUUGUAUGUUAAUUGCUUUUUUUCCUUUUCUGGUAAUUUAUUAACUACCCAUCUCUCUCUCUUAAAUAACUCCUACCUUGUUUUCUUUAUCUCUCUCUAUCUCUUUUGGUAUGAAAAUUUUGUAUGGGUUUAUGCUGAAGAGCUUCUAUACUGGUUUUUCGUUGUGGUUCGUCCAGAGGAUCAUUAUCUCUCGUUGUUUCUCUUGCAUUUUGCAUAUUUGAUCAUGGAUCUCAAUGAGUGUUGUUUGAGUGGGGCUUUUGUUGUUCAUUGAAUGAUGGUCUAGCUUUUGAUUGAUGUCUCAAUGAACUUCAAAGCUUUCUUUAGAAAGCAAUCUCUCUUCUGUCUCAUUUGGUUUUCUUUCUUCUGCUUUUUGGGCAGUGGAUGACAGAAGACUCAUCUAUUUUGGUUCUAUUCAUGGUUUUGAUGUCUAGCUUAUUUUCUAUUUUAUGUCUUAACUGAUGGUUUCGCCGCUCGCUUGCGAUGCUUUUUCUCAAAGCUUAUUUAUGUGGCAAAUUGACGCCUUACAAGUUGCAAAACUGUCUAUCACAUGGUUUUCGAGUUGAGGUUGCACUUUUAUGGGAUUAGUGGGAUCAAAUUUGGUGUGGCUCACUUCUAUAUAAAAAAAAAAAAGAAAAAGAAGAAAAAAAGUUAAUUUGUUAUUUCUCUUAUUUCUAUAUAAUUCAAAGUUUUAAUUCAAGGUAACUAGACUGAUUAGGUUAUUUUUGAAGAUGGCAUGGGAUAGGUUUGACAGGCAUUUAACGGGACGAUAUUAAUAGUUCUAAGGGGUUUCUGUUUCUAUUUCUAUUUUUGAAUGGUUAAGUUGGGGUUCAGACAUUGGGUUGCUUUUUAGGGAUUUUUGGAGGAGAUAAUUGAGAAUUGAGUCUAUCAUGGAUGGUAAUUUGAUACAUUGAUACAUCUCAAAUUUUUUGUAGAAAAUCCUGCAUGCAGCUAUUCAGGAGUUCAGGAUGUGAAGUGUUAAAAAUUGUGCUCUAAGCUCAGUAUGUUGUUGUAUAUUAGCUCUUAGGAGGUAUUUUAUUAUUAUGGGAACUUAUGUUUCUGUUAAGGAUGGGUUUCUAUGAGUCAGCCGACUCAUAUGUACACAUGCAGCUCCGUUCCAAAAUUCACCUUAAAGAUGGAUUUUUGAUACAAAAUUUUUGGGAUACAUCAUCUAGGACAAACUGAUCAUAAAUAUGAAUUUUUUUGUUUUGAACUUUAAAAUGUGCUUUUUUUGGGGAUGUUUUUGGAACCAUCCAUAUUUCAUUGGACCCCGUGCGUUUACACAAUGUCCAUCUUAAAGAUGGACGUUGAAGAGUCAUCGGGCUCUUGUACCUGCUGACUCAUGGAACACUUUUCCUUUUGUUAAUAGACGUGCAGUGCAUCCUUGUAUAUAUACUUGACAAGAAAGAAAUAUAUCGGUGUAUGUAUUUCUUAAAUUCUCAAGGCAAUGGAAAUUACAUAGGCUACUUUUAGAGCUUUGUGAAAAGAUGAAUGCUUCAAGGAUUCUUCUUUGGUCAAGCAUUUACUCAGGUUUCUUAGAUGGGAUUGUUUGACAAUAGAGUGAGUGCAAAUUGCGAUAUGCACCUUUAUGUCCUGUUGGGAAUGUCCUAGUGUGAGAUUGAGUUUGUCUUUGCGGACUUGGCUACUUUCCUGUGGCGCUAUUAGCAAGGAAAACCUGUCAAUUUAUACUGAUUUUCUAUGCUUAUAUGCAAAUGAGGAAUACUUGGUGGGUCACGUUUUGUUCCAUUGCCUAUAUUGGACAGUUGACAUGGCCUUUUUCCAACAGUUGAUGAGCGGAGGGGAGUAGAUUUUUCUUGGGAAAAUUUCGUAAAGACCCCUAAUUCCCCAUCAUAUUUCACGGUAGACCCUCGUAUUUUUCUUCCAAGCGGCAUAAAAAAACCCUCAAGUAUUUCACCGUACCCCCUCUUCUCUUCUCUCCCACGUUUAUUCAAUUUUGGCCACAAAAACUAGCCCCAACAAAUUGUUUUAUUCUAUCUCAAUCCAAAAGCUUUUUUAAAAGGUGCAAAAUAGGGUUAAAAAGGCUUUUGGAUUGAGAUGGAAUAAAAUAAUUUGUUAGGGCUAGUUUUUGUGGCCAAAAGUAAAUAAACGUGGGAAGAAGAGAUGAGGGGGUACGGUGAAAUACUCGAGGGUUUUUUAUGCCGCUUGAAAGAAAAAUAGGAGGGUCUACUUUGAAAUAAGAUGGGGAAUUAGGGGUCUGUACGAUAUUUUCCCAUCUUUCUUUGCUAGGCUCAUCUCAGUGGGUGUGUCUUGUAGUUCUAUGAAGGUUGAUUAAAAUUUAAAUAUGAAAUCCUGGUCGUGAUAUCGAUUUUUUAACUGAAAAGAUGUGUGAGACAGUGAAGUUGGUGCUAGAAGGGUGCGUCAUUGAUGCAGUGCAUCUUUGAAAGGUUAAGAAUCAAUGAGUUGAAAAGGGCUAGGAACUAGCCAAUGAAUAUUUUCCAUGGCAAAUGAAUCCAGAGAUGUUCGUUAUUGUAUAUAUGUUAGUGUAAUUUAUCAAUCUUGACAAAGUUGGAAAGGAAAUACCUGGUCAAAGGUUCAUUAAGGUUAUGAAUGGCAUGGUCGUUUGGUUCUUUAGAAGUCCCAUAGGAUUGGCUCAUUAGACAGAGGGGAGGCCCAUUAUAAACCCUGGCUUUUGGAUCUUCAUUCUUGUCCUUGGCUUUCUGGUCUUUUUGAUGGAGUUAGUUCUAUGAUGCCCUCAAGUUGUGUCGUUGGUGCUACUGUAAAACAAGAUAUAAAUAAUUCACUACUGCAUGCGCAUGAGUUGGAGUAUAAUGCAGACAAGUGUUGAGAAGGGAUCAGUUAAAACACCUCCUAGGUAUCAACAUCGAAUGUUCAAAAAGUUGGAUGUCCUGUCUAGGCGGUUUGGGGCCUGGCUGCCUAGGUGGGUGCCCAGGAACAAGGACAGGCUAGGCCCCCAAGGAGUUAGUCGGGCAGGGGUGUAGGCCCCCUAGGGAGUUCUUAGGGUAGUUUUAGGGACCCAAAAUCCCUGAGAGUGAAAAAUAAAUUGACAAAGACAAACAUGUAAAAAUAUCAAAAAAGGAAAACAAAAAAUAGAAGAAUAUCAAAUCAUUACACCUUAUACCAAAAAAAAAAAACCCUAACACAAAUAUUGUAUUGCACUAAGCAUUUCUAAAUAAAUUUGAUAUAGGCUGAAACGGGGAAAUUUUGACAAAAUAUUUCAAGUUUUCAACUACAAACAUAUAACAAUACCACUAAAGAAAAAAGAAAGUAAAAGAGUAUCAAAUAAUAGCACUUUAUGCAACAAAAAUAACCAAACCUUGAUUCAAAGAUUGUAAUGCACUAACCUUUUCAAAAUGAAACCGAUAUUGGCCCAAACCAGUGAUCUUUGGCCCAAAAGUCCCAUAUGUCCUCAUAUACUACCACUCCAAGCUCCAAAAAGUAUCAAGAAGUAUUUCUUUUGAUUUCGCUAGAAAUUGAAAAUGUUGAAAAUUUUCUUCUAUCUUGAGAAAAAUCUCAAAAUCCAAUUAUUUAGAGAUACAAUCUGAAAUACACAAAAGGGUGUUUGAGGGACUAGAAUGCUCCCCAAAAUCCUUUUUCCCCUUUUUUUGGGGGGGAAAUCCCCAAAAUACCCUUGGCUGAGGGCCUAUUUUCUGCCCUGGGCCUGCCUACAUCUAGGUACCCACCUUAUGGCGAGCGCCUAGGUGGGUGCCUAGAUGCACUAUGCCCAGGAAGCCCGCCUAGGCAUUUUGGCCUUGGGGCUGCCUAGGCGGCUGGUGGCCGAUUUUUUGAACAUUGUUAACAUCUUUUUUUCGAGACCACAAUCAAUAGAGAAUUUGGCUUCUAAUAGUUGAAUGUGUUGCGAGAGUCACAUGGAUAUUUGCAGGUGCUUGGUGUCGAUGUUGUUAAUGCUUAAUCUAAGGGACUUUCUACAAGCAUAGUCCGUAGAAAUCAUGCUUUUGUUUUUAAUAAUUUUUCAGGCAUAGAUAAUCUAUUCAUGCAUGAUGCAUUAUCCAUGACUUCAUCCAAGUUGGAUGAUAUAUGUAUAGAUCACAUGCUCUUCAGCCAUUUGAAUUGAUCUUUGGGGGCACUUUGCUUAAUGCAUGUGCUUAUUGACUGCUGGAGAGAGAGAGAGAGAGAGAGAGAGAGAGAGAGAGAGAGAGAGAGAGAGAGAGAGAGAGAGAGAGAGAGAGAGAG